rnacentral:rRNA from 1 species
UACGGAGGGUGCAAACGUUGCUCGGAAUUAUUGGGCGUAAAGCGCACGUAGGCGGACCAUCAAGUCGGUUGUGAAAUCCCUCGGCUUAACCGAGGACGUGCAUUCGAAACUGAUGGCCUUGAGUUCGAAAGAGGAUCGCGGAAUUCCCGGUGUAGAGGUGAAAUUCGUAGAUAUCGGGAGGAACACCUGUGGCGAAGGCGACCCCCUGGUUGGAUACUGACGCUGAGACGCGAAAGCGUGGGGAGCGAACAGG